UAAUACGGAGGGUCCGAGCGUUAAUCGGAAUUACUGGGCGUAAAGCGUGCGCAGGCGGUUUGUUAAGCGAGAUGUGAAAGCCCUGGGCUCAACCUAGGAAUAGCAUUUCGAACUGGCGAACUAGAGUCUUGUAGAGGGGGUAGAAUUCCAGGUGUAGCGGUGAAAUAGCGUAGAGAUCUGGAGGAAUACCGGUGGCGAAGGCGGCCCCCGUCGGACAAAGAACUGACGCUCAUGCACGAAAGACGUGGGGAGGCAAACAGGAUUAGAUACCCUGGUAGUCCACGCCGUAAACGAUGUCUACUCGGAGUUUGGUGUCUUGAACACUGGGCUCUCAAGCUAACGCAUUAGGUAGACCGCCUGGGAGUACGGCCGCAAGGUUAAAACUCAAAUGAAUUGACGGGGGCCCGCACAAGCGGUGGAGCAUGUGGUUUAAUUCGAUGCAACGCGAAGAACCUUACCUACUCUUGACAUCCACAGAAGAGACCAGAGAUGGACUUGUGCCUUCGGGAACUGUGAGACA
rnacentral:rRNA from 1 species